UCGGGUAUGGUGUAGCGGUAACAUCGCUGACUCUCAUCCACCUAAGCUCCUCUCCUCAGAGGGACUUGUUGGGAGUGUACUCAGCAGCCCGGGGUUCGACUCCCCGUAUCCGAG